UUGAACGCUGGCGGAAUGCUUUACACAUGCAAGUCGAGCGGCAGCGCGGGGCAACCUGGCGGCGAGCGGCGGACGGGUGAGUAAUACAUCGGAACGUACCCAGUCGUGGGGGAUAACCUACCGAAAGGUAGGCUAAUACCGCAUACGACCUGAGGGUGAAAGCGGGGGAUCGCAAGACCUCGCGCGAUUGGAGCGGCCGAUGUCGGAUUAGCUAGUUGGUGGGGUAAAGGCCCACCAAGGCGACGAUCCGUAGCUGGUCUGAGAGGAUGAUCAGCCACACUGGGACUGAGACACGGCCCAGACUCCUACGGGAGGCAGCAGUGGGGAAUUUUGGACAAUGGGGGAAACCCUGAUCCAGCCAUUCCGCGUGAGUGAAGAAGGCCUUCGGGUUGUAAAGCUCUUUCGGCAGGGAAGAAACGGCAGGCUCUAACAUAGCCUGCUAAUGACGGUACCUGAAGAAGAAGCACCGGCUAACUACGU
rnacentral:rRNA from 1 species